rnacentral:sRNA from 1 species
ACAGACACCGCAGAGUCAUUUAAGAUGACUUAAAGAUAGGUGCCCAUGAGCGGUAACACAAGCACGAUCUAGUGUCGCGGUUGCAUAUACAGUGGUGACAUCUUGAAGCGGUCUGAACAAGAACCGCAGAAUGAAAGGGUACUUUUGUAUUGUGAUCGUUGUAUCUGGUGCGUUGUUGUAAUCCGUGAACGGUGGCUGGAGUAUCUCCAAUAACUCAAUCUCGGUGGCAAUAAACGCAGCAGGCAUGUAAGCCUAAUUGCCGUGCUUCGGGACGGCUUUCCUU